UGAAAUAAAAGAAUAUCUAAUAAUUUUAAAAUUUAUUAGAAUAUGCUAAAUGAUAUUAUUUUAGAGAAAAUUCUUUUUGAAAGAAUUCAGUUUAAAAUGAAUUAUUUCAAUGAUCAUAAUACAAAUUUUUGAUGUUUUUUUCUUUUUUCAGGCAAUUGUAAGAGCCAUAGCAAGAGUGCGUAGAGUUAAAAUGAUUCAGGCAGAAAGUAUUUUUUCAAAAGGUGUAAAUUGGAGCAAAGCUGAAAAGGAAGAAGUAAAACGGGAAUUUGAAAACUUUCAAUUAACAGAAGAAGAACGCCAAGAACAUCGAGAAAAUAUGGCAGAUAGUUUGAGAAAUGCUGGUGUAGAAGAAGAUAUUAUUCAAUCAUUGAAUUUGUAAUUUUAAACACUAUUUUAAGUACAUGUAAUUUUUGCAUAAAAAAAUAUUGAAAUAUGAAACAUCACAUCCAUACAUUUCUGUUUUCCAGUUAAAUGUGACAUUAUCUUCCUGCAUUUUGCUCAUGAUUAAUAGAGAAGGAACAUGGAUGAACAGGCAUGGCUGUUGUAAUUUGCAUAUCACAAUAAUUUGAUUUUAAUUAUUUAUUAAUCAUUGGAUAUGAUCUGUAUCAAAAAGAUAGUUGCUUUUCAUGUCAUUUCAAAUAAAAUUAAUUUGCUUAAUCCUUAAAGAAGGCAUCCAUAACUAUUUUAAAUUUUAUAAAUAUAUGAAUUUUGUUGAAUGAUUUUUCGGUUAAUUAUGCUUUGAUGCAUUGUACUUAGUCUGUAAAAUUUUAAAAAAAUUAUAUUCCAGGUUAUUCUUUAUAUCUUGAGUUUAUUUACAUAAUAUGUUUUCAAACAUAUAUAAAUUAUGAGAACAAAGAUUGUGCCAAAUUGAAUAAACAGAUCAGUACAAUAUUUAGAUUUGUUUAAUGUUGAUUUAUGUAUCUUGAAAUUCUUCAUCUGGUUAUGAUAUUUAAUGCAUAUAUUGAAACAAAUUUAUAUAGUUAUUUGACAGAAUUUUAUAUUUUUUACAUAGUCAGAUUAAAAUACUUCAACUUGAUCAUUAUUUGUUGAUACAAACAUAGAAAAAUGGAAAUGUACUCAUUAGCAUUACACCAUUUUUUCUUAUUUAUAUGUAGAGUUAUUUCUCUCAUUGAAUCCAAAAGAAUUACUAUUUAGUUUAAUUAGAAAUUUUUGUAUCAGUUGCUAUUUUUUAAAAUGUUUUAUUGUUGGCAUGCAAAUUUCCUUAUUGUUUUAUAUGAAAUGAGAAAAAUAUUGUUUAAAUCAUUUUUAACAUUUAUAUGGAUAAGGGAAUUUCACAUUAAUCAUCAUCAGAUUAUUAUAUAUACUGUAAAAAAUGUUUUGCAUAUGUACACCAUGGCAAAUUUAUAAAUGCAUAAUGAAUAAAUUCUAUAAUUCUAAAAAUAUUCAUAGUUGUUGUGAAAUGGUCUAUCUGAACCAUAAUUCCUAUGUGAAGUUUCUAUAUAGAUUAUUUGUUAAGAUAAGAAUAUCC
rnacentral:lncRNA from 1 species